AUUGAACGCUGGCGGCAUGCCUAACACAUGCAAGUCGAACGGCAGCACAAUAAAGAUUUCGGUCUUUAUGGGUGGCGCGUGGCGGACGGGUGAGUAACGCGUAGGAAUCUGUCCUGGAGAGUGGGAUACCCCGAGGAAACUCGGGCUAAUACUGCAUGACAUUGAGAGAUCAAAAGCAGGGGACCGAAAGGCCUUGCGCUCUGGGGUGAGCCUACGUCGGAUUAGCUAGUUGGUGGGGUAAAGGCCUACCAAGGCGACGAUCCGUAGCUGGUCUGAGAGGAUGACCAGCCACACUGGGACUGAGACACGGCCCAGACUCCUACGGGAGGCAGCAGUGGGGAAUCUUGGACAAUGGGGGAAACCCUGAUCCAGCGAUGCCGCGUGUGUGAAGAAGGCCUUCGGGUUGUAAAGCACUUUAGGUGGGGAAGAAAGGUAGCGAGUGAAUAACUUUCUGCUGUGACGGUACCCACAGAAUAAGCACCGGCUAACUCUGUGCCAGCAGCCGCAGUAA
rnacentral:rRNA from 1 species